rnacentral:rRNA from 1 species
AACGAACGCUGGCGGCAGGCUUAACACAUGCAAGUCGAGCGCCCCGCAAGGGGGGCGGCAGCCGGGUGAGUAACGCGUGGGAACGUACCUUUUGGUUCGGAACAACUCCGGGAAACUGGAGCUAAUACCGGAUAAGCCCUCACGGGGAAAGAUUUAUCGCCGAAAGAUCGGCCCGCGUCUGAUUAGCUAGUUGGUGAGGUAACGGCUCACCAAGGCGACGGUCAGUAGUUGGUCUGAGAGAAAGAGCAGCCACACUGGGACUGAGACACGGCCCAGACUCCUACGGGAGGGAGCAGUGCGGGAUAGUGGACAAUGGGCGGAAGCAUGAUCCAGCCAUGCCGCGUGAGUGAUGAAGGCAUUAGGGUUGUAAAGCGCUUUUGUCCGGGAAGAUAAUGACGGUACCGGAAGAAUAAGCCCCGGCUAACUUCGUG